AAAUCCUAGCUAUCACAGAGCUGCAGUCAGACACUCCAGGUCUGCACAACAGAGCACCAUAUAUGGCAAUGAUCUGACGUAAUGGGCCAUUGGCUAGAGGAUGCAAAGAGCACAUCUCUCAUUGUUUGGUGUUACUGUCGGAAUGUUCACAUCGCUGAUCAGUGGAAGGCUGCAUCGCACCAUCAUAUUGCCUAGUGCUCUCAUUCCCACAAACAAGCUAUGGAACUUCACAAACUGCAGGCUUCAGGUUUUAUUUGCUGAAAAGUGUCUGGUUGUGAACUUCAAUAGGCAAUCAGUGACUGAAGUAACAAAGCUUUUGAAUUCCAAUAUUUAAAACACAACUUUUUUUGAACAAGAGCACUAAAAAUAUAUCCAGCACUGCCAAAGUUGCUCAUCAUUCUCAGUAGCUGUUACAACAAGUGCUACUUCUUCAACAUCGUCUUUUUGCUAAUAUCAGUUCUUGCUGAAGAACAGUACAGAUAAAUCCUCUAGUUUUAAUCUAUUUGAUGUUUCAGAGCAUUCAUCAAGGAAAUGCUUGAUGGUUUAAUGUGGCAUUUAUCCAUCUACCAUUGAAGUUAUCAAUACAAACUUGCAGAAAUGGAUGCAGUUACUUAUAUCAAGUAUAUUGCGCUGAGGCUCUAUUUAGACUUUUUCAUCGACUAGGCUAGUUUAUGAACUACGAAUUUAAAAGCACUAAAAAUUUGCACAAAUUUGCAAAGAUUGCAUUUAUUUUUAAUUCAAGUUCUUGGAGCAAAUAUGGUCCAUACUGAAUAUAAAUUUAGGAAUCCAAAAAAUAGCUGUCUUUCGAAAUAUUCACUGUCUACAUCUUGCUGCUGAUAAUUUUAACUUUGCCUGCCCAGCAUAGAUGAAAUGGGUAGACAGUUAAACCAUUCAUUGUACAGACCUACCAACAUCACACUGCCUUUUCACAUGUUGAUGAAUAGGCAAGAGGGAUCAAACCUUAUGCCAUUCACCAACCUCAAAAGACAACAGUCUAUAAAUAUGCAGAUUCCUCCAAUAAUAUCACCAUGGCCUAACUGCAACUUUAACGAUGGAAGCCAUUGUAAACUGCCUACCUGAAAAGCAAGCAAGAAGCGAAGUGGAUCCCCUUCUUUAAGAAAAACUUUCCUUGUGGAGCCUGGAUCAGGUGUCACCAGGAAUGUUUAGGCCUCUUUUGGACCCAGAUUCAGCGUCCUUCCUUCAACUAUGAAGCCCUCCCAAUUGAGUGCCAAAGACAAUUCCUUAAAUAGCAGCAAUGGCCUCCUGCUGCUCACCAUUCCAUUGCUAACCUGAGUAUUAUUUUUCAAUGUUGGAACAGUUUGCAAUCAACUUUGGUCCCUGUGCAUUUGAUUCCUGCACCAAGUUAAAACUGAGCAUCUCUUUGA